rnacentral:lncRNA from 1 species
UGGGAAAACAGGGGACAAGCCUCUGCCAGCUAGCCCUGGAGCUAACUCUGUGGCCUGAACUUUAAUAAUUUCCCUUCCCUAUCUCAUUAUUUAUUUGUUUAUUUGGUGCUGGGGAUGAACCCAGGGCCACAUUCACAAUAAACAUGAUCUCUACCAUUGAACUACACUACCAGUCCCCCUACUGCAUCUUGACCUCCUGGACUUUGGGUAAUGUCAACAACUAAUAAGUGUCCAGCAGACACCCCUUCACUCUGUAAACACAGCCCCUCUUAUUAGGGGUGCUCUGGAAAACUGAGGAAACUAUGGUACCACCAGCUAAGAGAACAUAAAACUUGGAUGCUUUUCCCCUUUAAUGAUCUCCUAAUCAAGAAUAAAUGAUGCUUGGAUAAAAAAAGAAGAAGAAGAAGAGAUGAAAAUGGAGGAGGAAAUUAAGUUUGGGGGCAGCUGGGCAUGAUGGCACAUACCUGUAAUCCCAGUGAUUUGCAGAGGCUGAGGCAGGAGGAUCGAAAGUUCAAAGCCAGCCUCAGCAACUUAGUGAGGCCCUAAGUACCUUAACAAGACCUUGUCUCAAAAUUAAAAAAAAAAAAAAAAGAAUAAAUAAGAAAGGUUGGGGAUGUGGCUCAGUUGUAAAGC